rnacentral:rRNA from 1 species
AACGAACGCUGGUGGCAUGCCUAACACAUGCAAGUCGAACGAGACCUUCGGGUCUAGUGGCGCACGGGUGCGUAACGCGUGGGAACCUGCCCUUAGGUUCGGAAUAACUCCCCGAAAGGGGUGCUAAUACCGGAUAAUGUCUUCGGACCAAAGAUUUAUCGCCUUUGGAUGGGCCCGCGUUGGAUUAGCUAGUUGGUAGGGUAAAAGCCUACCAAGGCGACGAUCCAUAGCUGGUCUGAGAGGAUGAUCAGCCACACUGGGACUGAGACACGGCCCAGACUCCUACGGGAGGCAGCAGUGGGGAAUAUUGGACAAUGGGCGAAAGCCUGAUCCAGCAAUGCCGCGUGAGUGAUGAAGGCCUUAGGGUUGUAAAGCUCUUUUACCCGGGAUGAUAAUGACAGUACCGGGAGAAUAAGCUCCGACUAACUCCGUG